GCCAGGCAUGGUGGUGCAUGCCUGUAAUCCCAGCAAUUUGGGAGGCUGAAGCAGGGGGGUCACAAGUUCGAGGCCAGCCCCAGCAACUUAGCAAGGCCCUAAGCAACUUAGUGAGAACCUAUUUCAA
rnacentral:sRNA from 1 species